UGGCAUUUAUCAAGAGGACAAUUUUAUUUGUACGUUGCUCCACAAGUUGCUCAUUAAUCACCAUCAGACGAAAAAUAGUUUUGAUCCUCAAAUGUUACCCUUUGUUUCGUUACAUUACAUUGCUUAGAUUGUUAGUUCCAUCUAAAAUAUAUUGUCUCUAAGUAUAAAAGAUGCGCAUCAAUUCUAUUUUGUUUGUUCUCCUUUUUUUUGGUUUUUUUAAAAAUACAGACACAAAUAUUUUCUCUAAAACGAGCUCUCAGCAUGGUAAAAAACAUUCGGUUUUCCUAUGCAUAAAUGUUUAGUUUAAAGGCACGAACUUUCGUUUCAUGCUUUCUUCGUGUAAGAGAAAUUAAAAAAGACGUUGUAUGAGCUUUCGGAUUUUUAUUUUUGAAUUUUGGAUGGUUCAAUAAAUUAAAAUGUUUGAAGUGGAUGGGGGUGAAAUAAAUUAAGAGGGAUGUGGAUGGAUGGGUUGUGAUGAAGUGCACUCUUAGUAGCUGGAGCCAUGAGAGUAGCUGGAACCAUGAGAGUAGCUGGGAGCAGAGUAGCUGGAUCCAUGAGAGGAGUAGCUGGGAGCGGAGUGUCCGUAGCUGGGAGCGGAGUAGCCGUGUUGUUGUUGUGGGUAAAGGUUCACGUUCUGGUAGGAGACGGCGGGUUCGCCGUGUCCGUAUGAAGAAGAUCCGUAUCCGGAUGAUCCAUGUCCGUAUCCGGAAGAACCGUGUCCGUAUGAGGAGGAACCGUAUCCAGAAGUUCCGGAAGAACCGUGACCGUAUGAAGAGGAACCGUAUCCAGAAGAUCCGGAAGAUCCGGAAGAUCCGUGUCCGUAUCCGGAAGAUCCGUAUUCAGCGGCGGCAACAACGACGACGGCGGCGAAGAUGAACCACUGAAAGCAAUAAAAUUUUACAGUUGAAAUAUCGGGGAACAUCAUACAAAGUGAUUAAAAAGUUCCGCACCAUCCCUAAAACCCGUAAGAUCUUGUCCCUUUUGGGGGUGAUCCCCUUACUUUUUGUUUCAGAGGGCGGGCGGGGGGCUUAAGUCGUUUCUUCUGACCCAGGAGCACUUGUUCAAGUCUCUAUCUCAAUUUGCUCAAAAGUUACAGGCGUGAUGCUAGAUGUUGGUAUGUGUAGGAUUCAGAGUUGUGGCGCACCAAUAUUAGAUUUAAAGGGCAUUUUGGAAACACAAUUUUAGGGGAUAGGUGCAAUUAAAAGCCUGGGAACCUAGGUGAAAAAUGAUAUAUGUGUAUUUUUUCCAUUAAAUAAAUAAAUAAAAAAUUAAAAUAAAAAAAAUGGAUAUGGUUGUUACCGUGUUACCUACUAAGGUAUUAUGGUUUCAAACAAGUUCUCAUUAAGUUGGACUUUGAAAGUCUUUGGAAGUCCAAUCAUGAAAUAGAAACAAAGUCUCGGCUUUUAAAAGGACAAGAUCCGAUCUGUGGUAAAGUAUCGAGCUAAAGUUAUGUGUUUCAAAGGUAACGUUUGAAAAUGCGUUUGUAGGAAUCACUUUGAUGUAAAUAUAUUCUCAAAUUUCUCAGCCUCAAAUAUGAAGCUCGUAUACAAUUUUAAUGUGUUAUGAAAACAUUAUGACUUACUUUGAAGAAGGCCAUUUUGAGUUUGGGUGUUGUUGUUGGUUGCACAGGGAACUGUAAGAAUUAACUGUGAAGAGUGAAUGAUGCUGAUUUGUUAGCGGCCAGCUUUUAUAUGUCUCCGAGUGCCUAAUCUAAGGCAUAAAAACCAGCACUUAGGAAGGACAUUUUCGCGAAAAGUCUGAAUGAAAAAAGCUCGUGAAAAAAAGAGCAAUAAAAAAACAGCGCAUUACGCUUGAUAAAAAGUUGUCAUGAUUGGAGAUGAUAAUGAGGAUAUUGAUUGAAUUUGUUUGUUGAUUGGUACGUCGGAAAGUGUUUUUCAUGAUGUAUCUGAAUACGUGUUGGUGAAUUAGCGUGCGUUUUCGUAGGAAGAGUUUAACUGGGUGUAUGUUGACAUCGGAUUUGAGAACGAAGGUCAUUGCAUCCUCGUAAACUCGUUCCGUGUAACAAUUCAAGAGAAAGAACAAGAGUUAAUGACAAAAGUUUUAUUCUCUCUGAUCCCAAAAUCGCAGUGACAUCCGUGUGUUUUUCGUGGUUGGUGCGUUCGACAUAUGCAUCUUCUAUCUGUGAUUAUAUCUUACCCUGAGCUUCCGGUAAACGAGAGUUUGCAAGUUUGCAAGUGGUUUAUUGUUCCAUUUCGGUUAACCGUAUCAAAAAUUUGCGUUUGAAUCCAUUAUUUUGAUGAAAAUAAAAAUUAUACUCCAUUAAUGUGAUUUUCUUGUGCUUUUUCCUAUCGUUAAGUAUUAUUCUUUCCUCAUAUUACGACAAUAAUUCAAUUUCUUAAUGUCUUUAUUCUUCACAUCAUUGCUGUGCCGUUAAAAAAAAAUUGAAAUAUGUUUUGCUGGUUUGCGUAUCUAUGUAUAAACAAUUUAUGGGUCGGCAUAUCUCGAGUAUCGCGUGUGUUAAAAAUACACACGGUAAAGUAUGUACAUUUUUGAAACAUCUUAAUAAGUAGUUAAGAUAAAUAAAACGUGUGAAAGAGUCUUAUCAGCAGCAUACUGACAGCUUUUUCCAUUUCUUCUGAAGACGUGGCCAGUUAAUCGUCUAAAAUCAAGAGGGCCUGACCCUUUUAAUGUAAAUUAUCUAGGUCCUUUUUGAUCGGUAAAACUGCAGAAAUGCAUAUCUCGAUUUGCGGCGUUUAAGUCUUUCUGUCAUAUUUUAUUUUCUGCACGGAAACCUAUACUGAACGACAUUUUUUGAUAACUUUGGUGAUUUUUUUUUCUAUUCGUGGUUAAUGAACAUUUUGAAAAUGUUAAGCCAUAAUAUUAGUUCAAUCAACUUUUAAAACAUAAAAUCGAAGCGGAGACUUACAGCAUUGCAACAGAGAUACGUAUUUUUGGAGUUUACUUCCGCGCGCAUUUUUGACGUGUAACAAUGAUAAUUUUCUCGAACAAUUUAAGAUCCGAUUUAAAUGAAUAUUUUAGUUUAAUUUUUAUACUGCUAAAAGGAACUUCUCGCCCCCCCCCCCCCCUAAGAAGUGCAGGUGUUCAGUUAACCAGGAUCCCAAGUGCUCUAUUUUUAUUUGUUUCUGUUGGACAGGACAUAGUAGCAUAGACCUAGUAGCAUUGGCUAUUUAAAAGAAGUUACAACUCGUUAAUUUUAGAGAGGAAAACUCUUGAAAACCCCUGAAAAUAUUCGAAUUAGGAAACCCUUUUUGUUUUUUAAGUGUGUGAAUACCACCUUACCUUUUUCCAAGUUUUUAUAACUUUAUCUUAGC
rnacentral:lncRNA from 1 species